CCCUGGAACGAUACAAAGAAGAUUAGCAUGGCCCUUGCGCAAGGAUGACACACACAAAUCGAGAAAUGGUCCAAAUUUUA
rnacentral:snRNA from 1 species